ACAUGUGCACAACUGUGACUUCUGUCGUUUGCCAUUUAAUAAAUAUUUUUCCAUCUCCACGCUUCUGAUGCUCUUUCUGGAUUUUCUGUAUCUUAGAAAAUCCAGUUACUCUCUAAUCGUAGAACUAAAAUCUUAACUCACACAUUCAGCUACCGACUUCCACACCCCUCACUUAACCUUUUUUUCUUUUUUUCUUCCCUUCAAGCUUCACCAUCUCUGUUUUUGUAUAGAGAUAUAUCAUCUUAUAAGAUUUAAAAACGUUUUUUCCUGAAAAGAAUCUACCCUCACUCUGGUCUAAAAGGAACCUGUGUACCUUUGAUGGCAUGACUUGCAGAGACGACGAUGUUUCUUCAAUUGAUCUCAAAUCCAAGUCGAUAAAACAUGUAUUCACCGACUGAAAAAAAAAAGAUGCAAUGAAUGUGAAAACGCGAAAGUAAUGGAGAUAUGGAGUUAAUUUGGAGGUUAAUGAGAAUGAUUGAAUGCAUAUGAGAUCUGUAACGUUUCCGAUUUUGGAAAGCAAGUAAGAAGCUACACGAACCGACACCGAAGGCGGUUUACACCAAAGAUUGGCCGGAUUCCGACCCUCGUAACCCAACCGGAGAUCUAUUGUUAACCCUAGACGGCUGUUCUUCAAGAAAGUGGUGAACAUGAAGAUAAUCUCUAACUCUAAUCAUCCACUUAACCAAUACUCUUUAGCCCAAAUCUUUUAUUAGAAGCCCAUGACCUAUAUUUUUAAGUCUAAGGCAAUUUUUGGUACGAAAGUCCAUCAAUAAGAAAAUAACAACAUAACAUCAUCAACGAAAGAGAAAAAUGAUGUUUCAAACGGACACGUGUUACCAAUAGCUUCUAACAUAAAUAAAACGUUGAGUUUUGAAGAUAGAGACAGGUGUAAAAACUAGAAUACUCGACUUUCUUACCUAGCGCUAACGCGGCAGCCUCACAGGAAAUAAAAUAUUCUUUUAUAAUAAUAAACUAGGGGCAUUGCCUCCACGCAAGCGUGAAGUUGUGGACAUAGUUCUUAUUUCAUCUCAAUAUUUGUUAAGGUUAUUGUAGCUGUGAAUUUUGCGUUUUGGGUUGAUCAUUGUUUUUCAAGUUUUUUAUUGUUAUAGGGUUAGAGUUGUGAUGAUGAACUGUGUAUGCACUGUUCUCCACUCAUGAAGAACUAAACUGUGUUAGUAAUGUGAUUGAUAUAGUUUGUGGUGUUGCUUGUUGUGUCAUUGAGACUUAUUGUUUGUUUGUCUUUUUAAUUUGUUACUUAUACUAUUGAGAUUACAUAAGUUGUUGAUAGUACC